GCCCAACCCCGUGUAUUAUGCCAUGAACGUCUGACGCGGGGACUAGGUGAAAAUCGUGGUGGGCCCCACAGGUGAGGUCCGUAUCAGCGUACAGCCAAACGCCACACCGAGCGCCGAUUCUUCCAAAAAAGAACCCUAAUUCCGUGCCCGUUUCUCGCUCCAGAAUCAAACUUCCCUAACCAGAUACAAGCUUCUCUCUUCCACUUUACCUACUCACACUGAUGAUUGAUGAUGAUUUAGUUAAGUAUUAACUUAAGUAUAAUUAACAGGGCGCAAUAAGAUGGCCAUUUCGGUUCAAUAUAAAUUACACUUCAACACAGCUAUUAUAAAUUGAAUAAGCUUAAAUAGUAAUAAUUUCAAAUGUUGACUUCCAAAGAUUUUCCAUUGUAGUUGAAUUGCAUGCAUUGUUUCUCACUUAAUGUUAUGGUUAUAAUAUUCUUAAUUCAUGUUACGGUAAUAUAAAAAAAUAGAUUAAUAAGUGUUAUCAAAACCCAAUGCAGAUUUAUGUGUGUUAAUUAACACCAAAGUGCUCAUACCAAAUACGGAUAAAAUUCUAGUCAAACAAGCCAAGAGUCUAUUUCCCUAUCACGAAGUAGAUAAAGAAUAAAAUGUGCAGUCUGUAAGCAUACAAACUAAGGUUUCAAUCACACAAAUUGAACUUAAAGACAAGUUAAUUAAUAAAUGUUGAAAUGGCAA